rnacentral:rRNA from 1 species
AUGAAGCGCUUUCUUCCUUGGCUGCUCGCUCAGUCCCGCACCAAGUUCGCCAAGACCAUGGAGGUGAGCUCUCAGUUCACCAGCAUUGAGGACAUGCAUAAAGAGGCAGACAAUGUGGUGUUGAAGCCGAUGAAGGAGUCGAAGACGAUGAUACCUAACCCAGUCAAAGGCAUUGUGCUAGUGGACAUACUACGCUGGGCAAUGGAUCAGGCCGAGUCCGGCGAUCCUGGUCAAAGAUCCAGAUGGGCCAAAUACAGGCUUGUUAGGCCUCCUUGUGCCCAACCGACCGUCGUGGUGGCGCCGCAGGACGACCACGAAGCGGUGGAGCUGGUGGUCAGGGUGACAUCCAGGCAAUCGUACAAUGCCCAUCAUUCUGGACGACGACGAUGA